rnacentral:rRNA from 1 species
UCCAGACUCCUACGGGAGGCAGCAGUGGGGAAUAUUGCACAAUGGGGGAAACCCUGAUGCAGCGACGCCGCGUGAGUGAAGAAGUAUUUCGGUAUGUAAAGCUCUCUCAGCAGGGAAGAAAAUGACGGUACCUGACUAAGAAGCCCCGGCUAACUACGUGCCAGCAGCCGCGGUAAUACGUAGGGGGCAAGCGUUAUCCGGAUUUACUGGGUGUAAAGGGAGCGUAGACGGCGGUGCAAGCCAGAUGUGAAAGCCCGGGGCUCAACCCCGGGACUGCAUUUGGAACUGUGCUGCUAGAGUGUCGGAGAGGCAGGCGGAAUUCCUAGUGUAGCGGUGAAAUGCGUAGAUAUUAGGAGGAACACCAGUGGCGAAGGCGGUCUGCUGGACAGCAGCUGACGCUGAGGCGCGAAAGCGUGGGGAGCAAACAGGAUUAGAUACCCCUGUAUGG